rnacentral:rRNA from 1 species
GAUGAACGCUGGCGGCGUGCUUAACACAUGCAAGUCGAACGAAGCACUUUUACAGAUUUCUUCGGAAUGAAGUUUUAGUGACUGAGUGGCGGACGGGUGAGUAACGCGUGGGUAACCUGCCUCACACAGGGGGAUAACAGUUGGAAACGGCUGCUAAUACCGCAUAAGCGCACAGUACCGCAUGGUACAGUGUGAAAAACUCCGGUGGUGUGAGAUGGACCCGCGUCUGAUUAGCUAGUUGGCAGGGCAACGGCCUACCAAGGCGACGAUCAGUAGCCGACCUGAGAGGGUGACCGGCCACAUUGGGACUGAGGCACGGCCCAAACUCCUACGGGAGGCAGCAGUGGGGAAUAUUGCACAAUGGGGGAAACCCUGAUGCAGCGACGCCGCGUGAGCGAAGAAGUAUUUCGGUAUGUAAAGCUCUAUCAGCAGGGAAGAAGAAAUGACGGUACCUGACUAAGAAGCACCGGCUAAAUACGUGCCAGCCGCCGCGGUAA